CUGCCGUGGGCGCUGGAGAAUUGAGGGGGGCUGCUCCUAGUACGAGAGGACCGGAGUGGACGCAUCACUGGUGUUCGGGUUGUCAUGCCAAUGGCACUGCCCGGUAGCUAAAUGCGGAAGAGAUAAGUGCUGAAAGCAUCUAAGCACGAAACUUGCCCCGAGAUGAGUUCUCCCUGAGACUUUAAGUCUCCUGAAGGAACGUUGAAGACGACGACGUUGAUAGGCCGGGUGUGUAAGCGCAGCGAUGCGUUGAGCUAACCGGUACUAAUGAACCGUGAGGCUUAACCUUACAACGCCGAAG
rnacentral:rRNA from 1 species